CUGAUGCAGCGACGCCGCGUGAGGGAUGACGGCCUUCGGGUUGUAAACCUCUUUCAGCAGGGAAGAAGCGAAAGUGACGGUACCUGCAGAAGAAGCGCCGGCUAACUACGUGCCAGCAGCCGCGGUAAUACGUAGGGCGCAAGCGUUGUCCGGAAUUAUUGGGCGUAAAGAGCUCGUAGGCGGCUUGUCACGUCGGAUGUGAAAGCCCGGGGCUUAACCCCGGGUCUGCAUUCGAUACGGGCUAGCUAGAGUGUGGUAGGGGAGAUCGGAAUUCCUGGUGUAGCGGUGAAAUGCGCAGAUAUCAGGAGGAACACCGGUGGCGAAGGCGGAUCUCUGGGCCAUUACUGACGCUGAGGAGCGAAAGCGUGGGGAGCGAACAGGAUUAGAUACCCUGGUAGUCCACGCCGUAAACGUUGGGAACUAGGUGUUGGCGACAUUCCACGUCGUCGGUGCCGCAGCUAACGCAUUAAGUUCCCCGCCUGGGGAGUACGGCCGCAAGGCUAAAACUCAAAGGAAUUGACGGGGGCCCGCACAAGCAGCGGAGCAUGUGGCUUAAUUCGACGCAACGCGAAGAACCUUACCAAGGCUUGACAUAUACCGGAAAGCAUCAGAGAUGGUGCCCCCCUUGUG
rnacentral:rRNA from 1 species